rnacentral:rRNA from 1 species
GUGCCAGCAGCCGCGGUAAUACAGAGGUCCCGAGCGUUGUUCGGAUUCACUGGGCGUAAAGGGUGCGUAGGUGGUGGGGUAAGUCGGAUGUGAAAUCUCCAAGCUCAACUUGGAAAUGGCAUUGGAAACUGCCCUGCUAGAGGAUCGGAGGGGGGACUGGAAUACUUGGUGUAGCAGUGAAAUGCGUAGAUAUCAAGUGGAACACCAGUGGCGAAGGCGAGUCCCUGGACGAUACCUGACACUGAGGCACGAAAGCUAGGGGAGCAAACAGGAUUAGAAACCCGUGUAGUCC